UGAAACUGCGAACGGCUCAUUAAAUCAGUUAUCGUUUAUUUGAUAGUACCUUACUACUUGGAUAACCGUGGUAAUUCUAGAGCUAAUACAUGCUAAAAACCCCGACUUCGGAAGGGGUGUAUUUAUUAGAUAAAAAACCAAUGCCCUUCGGGGCUCCUUGGUGAUUCAUAAUAACUUAACGAAUCGCAUAGCCUUGUGCUGGCGAUGGUUCAUUCAAAUUUCUGCCCUAUCAACUUUCGAUUGUAUGGUAUUGGCUUACAAUGGUUUCAACGGGUAACGGGGAAUUAGGGUUCUAUUCCGGAGAGGGAGCCUGAGAAACGGCUACCACAUCCAAGGAAGGCAGCAGGCGCGCAAAUUACCCAAUCCCGACACGGGGAGGUAGUGACAAUAAAUACUG
rnacentral:rRNA from 1 species